rnacentral:ncRNA from 1 species
AGAGAUAGAGGUUGCGUAUUUUAUUAGUACAUUUUCUGAUAUGGCAGCAAUAUUAGAAGAAGAUGAAAAGGGAAAUACGCCGAAAGGACCAGUUAGCUGCAGGCUGGGAUUCUUGGGCAUGUAUUUAAUAGGUACAUGACUGUCAUCUUUGUUUUUAGAUGGGGCGCUAUCCG